rnacentral:lncRNA from 1 species
AAAUUUUUGUUGGCGCUUGCUCCGGACAUCGAUGGCGGCGCGUCGUGGAGGUGGCCGUCGUGGAGCUCGCCGCCGCGGAGGUCGCGCCGUGCGCGUAGGGGCGGAGUGGUGACCGGAUCCACCGCCGCCUUGCUUGCCCAUCACAGCCACACCCUUCGUCACCCGUGCAAGAUCCACGCUAGAUCCGCACGCGUGGGGCGCGGAGCGGCAGCUGGAUGCGCCGCCUCCUCACCUCCUACCCGUAGUCACCCGUUGACGCUGCACCCAGCCGUGCCGUGCUGGAUCCGCCGAUGUCGUGCUCACCACCGAUCAGUGAUGGAGGUGGAGCCGCCGCGCCUCCAGCCCGCAGUCGCCCGUCGUUUCCGCGCCCACAACCGUGUCGAGCCGGAUCCACCGAUGUCGCACCCGUCGCCGCUCGACAAUAGAGGUGGAGCCGUCGCGCCACCCGCCCGCCAACGCUGCGCCCGCAGUCGCCCAUCGCCACCGUGCCCAUAG